rnacentral:rRNA from 1 species
UUGAUUUUGCCACUUUUCUUUUUCAGCAGCUAGCUGCAAGACGUCCUGUGGGGACGUAGCCGUGCCAUACCCGUUCGGCAUGGGCCCGUCGACCAGCUGCUACAUGCCAGGGUUCAAGCUCGUCUGCGACUCGAGCCAUCAGCCCCCACGGCUGUUUCUCGGCAACGCUGAGCUCCAAAUCGUCGAUAUCUCCGUAGCCAACUCGACCGUGCGAAUCAUCCGAACCGGUGCCCUCAUAAGCCCUGGUUCCAACAUGGGGUCCACAAAACAAGUGGUUUGGGUCUUCGGACAGAAGGAGAUGUUCGGCAGUUCCUCGUUUUUUUUCGACGGUGAAGCGCCCUACUCGCUUUCCACUAGAAACAAGCUUGUGGCAACAGGGUGCAACGCACAGGCGACGCUGCUCGGACAUGGCAACCCGGCUAUGAUCAGCGGUUGUGUCGCCUUCUGCUCCCGCAACGACACCAGUAGCAGCACCGGCCUUGACGGAAGUGGUGGUGGCAAGUACUGCCACGGCAUAGGCUGUUGCCAGACACGUAUCUCUGAGUCCAUGGACGGAAUGCCCAAAGAGUUCCGCUUCCAAUGGUUAGACUCCAAAAACCCUAAGAACCUAAUACCGUUUCCAGCGUACGCAUUCAUCGCCGAGGAGGGUUGGUUUGAGCAGCAGGGCAACCUGAUCAUGCGGAAGGCUCUGAAUGAAACGCCGGUAAUUUCCCUGAAAGUUCCCAUCCUUCUCCGAUGGGAGGUCUUGCGUAAUGGCUCAUCACCGAACGCCAGAUUGCGUCAGGAUUGCUCUGGGAAGGUUGCUCGGGACCUCUGCAAGAGCGAGCACAGCCACUGCAAGCCUGGGAACAGAGGCUAUACGUGUAAGUGCAACGAGGGCUACAACGGCAAUCCCUACGUCCCCGACGGAUGCAAUGGUAGCACCCCCAAAUACUUUCGAGGUAUAAGCAUCAUUAUUGGUGUUGCUAGUGGGGCUGGUCUCAUUCUUUUGGCUCUGAUUAUAUACUUGAUCUCCUACAAAUAUAAGCAACGGAAGUCGCAAAUGUUGAAACGGAAGUUUUUUGAGCAAAAUCGUGGACAAUUAUUGCAACAAUUGGUAUCUCAAAGAGCCGAUAUUGCGGAAAAAAUGAUCAUAUCCCUGGAAGAGCUAGAGAAAGCAACGAACAAUUUUGAUAAAGCCCGUGAGCUUGGUGGUGGUGGACAUGGAACUGUCUACAAAGGCAUUUAGCAGACCUCCAUGUUGUAGCCGUCAAGAAACCAAAGAUAUUAGUUCAAAAGGAGAUUGAUGAGUUCAUUAAUGAAGUUGCUAUCCUGUCACAAAUCAACCAUAGGAAUGUAGUAAAACUCUAUGGUUGUUGCCUUGAAACAGAAGUCCCAAUGCUAGUCUAUGAGUUCAUAUCCAACGGAACUCUUUAUGAGCAUCUUCAUGUUGAAGGGCCAAGGUCAUUGCCAUGGGAGAACAGAUUACAGAUAGCAAUUGAAACAGCCAAAUCUCUAGCCUAUCUCCACUCAACGGCUUUAAUACCUAUCAUCCACAGAGAUAUCAAGUCCACUAAUAUACUUUUGGAUGAUACUUUAACAGCUAAGGUGGCAGACUUUGGAUCUUCAAGAUACAUUCCAUUGGACAAAUCAGGUCUAACAACAAUGGUGCAAGGUACACUAGGAUAUCUGGAUCCUAUGUACUUCUACACAGGGCGCCUAACAGAGAAAAGUGAUGUUUACAGCUUUGGUGUUAUGCUCGUAGAACUGAUGACUAGAAAGAAGCCAUUUUCCUAUAUGGCUCCUCAAGGUGAUGGCCUUGUGGCACAUUUUGCUACCUUGUUUUCUGAGGGAAGUUUGUUACAGAUAUUAGAUCCACAAGUUACGGAUGAGGGUGGGGACACAAUUGAAGAAAUUGCUGGAGUUGAAGUCGCUUGUAUAAAAUUAAGAGGAGAGGAUCGUCCAACAAUGAGACAAGUAGAGUUGAGGCUGGAAGGAGCUCACUCACCUAAGAAGCAUGCAACAAUGGUAGUUCAAGAAUUUGAGGCGAAUGAUAUUGUCAUGAACUCUUCAAUAACUGGAAAUGGAAUAACCGACCGAGAAGGUCUUACUAGGCAGUAUAGUCUGGAAGAAGAGGGCAUGUUAUCAGCAAGUUAUCCACACUAG